rnacentral:rRNA from 1 species
AACGCUGGCGGCGCGCUUAACGCAUGCAAGUCGAGCGAGAACCAUGGCUUCGGCCAUGGGGACAGCGGCGAACGGGUGAGUAACACGUGGGUAAUCAACCCUCGACACUGGGAUAGCCCGGGGAAACUCGGAUUAAUACCGGAUACCCCAUCUGGCCUUCGGGCCGGCUGGAAAAGGUAGCUUUGGCCUCCGGUCGAGGACGAGCCCGCGGCGGAUUAGCUUGUUGGCGGGGUAAAAGCCCACCAAGGCGACGAUCCGUAGCUGGUCUGAGAGGACGAUCAGCCACACUGGGACUGAGACACGGCCCAGACUCCUACGGGAGGCAGCAGUGGGGAAUCUUGCGCAAUGGGCGAAAGCCUGACGCAGCGACGCCGCGUGAGGGAAGAAGGCCUUCGGGUUGUAAACCUCUUUCAGGAGGGACGAAGCCACUCGGGUUAAUAGCCCAGAGGGUGACGGUACCUCCAGAAGAAGCCCCGGCUAACUACGUGCCAGCCGCCGCAGUAAAAC